rnacentral:rRNA from 1 species
AUUGAACGCUGGCGGCAGGCCUAACACAUGCAAGUCGAGCGGAUGAAGGGAGCUUGCUCCUGGAUUCAGCGGCGGACGGGUGAGUAAUGCCUAGGAAUCUGCCUGGUAGUGGGGGAUAACGUCCGGAAACGGGCGCUAAUACCGCAUACGUCCUGAGGGAGAAAGUGGGGGAUCUUCGGACCUCACGCUAUCAGAUGAGCCUAGGUCGGAUUAGCUAGUUGGUGGGGUAAAGGCCUACCAAGGCGACGAUCCGUAACUGGUCUGAGAGGAUGAUCAGUCACACUGGAACUGAGACACGGUCCAGACUCCUACGGGAGGCAGCAGUGGGGAAUAUUGGACAAUGGGCGAAAGCCUGAUCCAGCCAUGCCGCGUGUGUGAAGAAGGUCUUCGGAUUGUAAAGCACUUUAAGUUGGGAGGAAGGGCAGUAAGUUAAUACCUUGCUGUUUUGACGUUACCAACAGAAUAAGCACCGGCUAACUUCGUGCCAGCAGCCGCGGUAAUACGAAGGGUGCAAGCGUUAAUCGGAAUUACUGGGCGUAAAGCGCGCGUAGGUGGUUCAGCAAGUUGGAUGUGAAAUCCCCGGGCUCAACCUGGGAACUGCAUCCAAAACUACUGAGCUAGAGUACGGUAAAGGGUGGUGGAAUUCC